AGGACGAACGCUGGCGGCGUGCUUAACACAUGCAAGUCGAGCGGAAAGGCCCUUCGGGGUACUCGAGCGGCGAACGGGUGAGUAACACGUGAGUAAUCUGCCCCUAGCUCUGGGAUAGCUCCGGGAAACCGGGAUUAAUACUGGAUACGACCACCUUAGACAUCUUUUGUGGUGGUAAAGAAUUUCGGCUAGGGAUGAGCUCGCGGCCUAUCAGCUUGUUGGUGGGUAACGGCCUACCAAGGCGACG
rnacentral:rRNA from 1 species